rnacentral:rRNA from 1 species
UACGUAGGGCGCAAGCGUUGUCCGGAAUUAUUGGGCGUAAAGAGCUCGUAGGCGGUUUGUCGCGUCUGCUGUGAAAACUCGAGGCUCAACCUCGGGCUUGCAGUGGGUACGGGCAGACUAGAGUGCGGUAGGGGUGACUGGAAUUCCUGGUGUAGCGGUGAAAUGCGCAGAUAUCAGGAGGAACACCGGUGGCGAAGGCGGGUCUCUGGGCCGAUACUGACGCUGAGGAGCGAAAGCGUGGGGAGCGAACAGG